rnacentral:tRNA from 1 species
ACCAGGAUAGCUUAGCCCCUAAAGCUUUGAUUUUGUAAUUCAAGGACGGCAUUGUCGCCUCCUGGUA